UUCCCCAGAAAAUUCUCAGCUUAGAAAAUUAUCUGUCCCGGUGGAUUUAGAGCACAAAUCCACUAAGAUCAAUAUCUUCUCUGUUGUUGUGCCCUACAAGAAGGAUAAAAUGACAGAAGUAGCCAGAAUUUCUCAAGAUUCUCGAGAAAAAGCGUCGAGUUUCACUUCAUUUCAGUCCACAUGGCCGAAGGACAGCAAGUGACCAAAAUUCCUCAAGAUUCAGAAUCUAGGGCAAUAUGUCGCUACAUUGGCGAAAAGGACGAAGGAAGCUAACGAUGAACAAUCUCAAGGCGAGUUGAAGCUGUCGAGCAAAGGAGAGCCAACGAAGAAAAUUCUCAACGUGAAGAGGAAGAAUGCGCGUGCGAUCUGGAAAAAAAAAAAAAAAA